rnacentral:rRNA from 1 species
GACGAACGCUGGCGGCGCGCCUAACACAUGCAAGUCGAACGGAGCUUAGAGAGCUUGCUUUUUAAGCUUAGUGGCGAACGGGUGAGUAACGCGUGAGUAACCUGCCCUAGAGUGGGGGACAACAGUUGGAAACGACUGCUAAUACCGCAUAAGCCCACGGUACCGCAUGGUACUGAGGGAAAAGGAUUUAUUCGCUUUAGGAUGGACUCGCGUCCAAUUAGCUAGUUGGUGAGGUAACGGCCCACCAAGGCGACGAUUGGUAGCCGGACUGAGAGGUUGAACGGUCACAUUGGGACUGAGACACGGCCCAGACUCCUACGGGAGGCAGCAGUGGGGGAUAUUGCACAAUGGGGGAAACCCUGAUGCAGCGACGCCGCGUGGAGGAAGAAGGUUUUCGGAUUGUAAACUCCUGUCGUUAGGGACGAUAAUGACGGU